rnacentral:snoRNA from 1 species
AACCCAUGUUGUUGGUAUCUUCUUAAAAGGUCUUUGUAUCUCUCCCAUGCAUCGUAGAGUGUUUCUAAAUCCAUCUGCACAAAAGAAGAGAUAUCAUUACGUAAUUU